GACGAACGCUGGCGGCGUGCCUAAUACAUGCAAGUAGAACGAGUUGCGAACGGGUGAGUAACGCGUGGUAACCUGCCUCAUAGCGGGGGAUAACUAUUGGAAACGAUAGCUAAUACCGCAUAUUGUGAGAUGGACCUGGUUUGUUUUAGCUAGUUGGUGAGGUAAAGGUUCACCAAGGCGACGAUACAUAGCCGACCUGAGAGGGUGACCGGCAACACUGGAACUGUGACACGGGCACGACUCCUACGGGAGGCAGCAGUGGGGAAUAUUGCACAAUGGGCGCAAGCCUGAUGCAGCCAUGCCGCGUGUAUGAGGAGGUCCUUCGGUUUGAAAAGUACUUUCCGCGAGGAGGCGUUACUCGCAGAAGAAGCACCGGCUAACUCCGUGCCAGCAGCCGCGGUAAUAC
rnacentral:rRNA from 1 species